rnacentral:rRNA from 1 species
GACGAACGCUGGCGGCGUGCUUAACACAUGCAAGUCGAGCGGUAAGGCCCUUUCGGGGGUACACGAGCGGCGAACGGGUGAGUAACACGUGGGUGACCUGCCCUCAGCUCUGGGAUAAGCCUGGGAAACCGGGUCUAAUACUGGAUAUGACUCCAUGACGCAUGUUGUGGGGUGGAAAGCCUUGUGCGGCUGAGGAUGGGCCCGCGGCCUAUCAGCUUGUUGGUGGGGUGAUGGCCUACCAAGGCGACGACGGGUAGCCGGCCUGAGAGGGCGACCGGCCACACUGGGACUGAGACACGGCCCAGACUCCUACGGGAGGCAGCAGUGGGGAAUAUUGCGCAAUGGCCGAAAGGCUGACGCAGCGACGCCGCGUGUGGGAUGAAGGCCUCGGUU